rnacentral:rRNA from 1 species
GUGGGGAAUAUUGGACAAUGGGGGCAACCCUGAUCCAGCAAUGCCGCGUGAGUGAGGAAGGCCUUAGGGUUGUAAAGCUCUUUCACCCACGACGAUGAUGACGGUAGUGGGAGAAGAAGCCCCGGCUAACUUCGUGCCAGCAGCCGCGGUAAUACGAAGGGGGCGAGCGUUGUUCGGAUUUACUGGGCGUAAAGGGCGCGUAGGCGGCCAUCUUUGUCAGGCGUGAAAGCCCCGGGCUCAACCUGGGAAUUGCGUCUGGGACGGGGUGGCUAGAGAUCGGGAGAGGAGCGUGGAAUUCCCAGUGUAGAGGUGAAAUUCGUAGAUAUUGGGAAGAACACCGGUGGCGAAGGCGGCGCUCUGGACCGAUACUGACGCUGAGGCGCGAAAGCGUGGGGAGCAAAC